AUUGAACGCUGGCGGCAGGCCUAACACAUGCAAGUCGAACGAGUGGCGGACGGGUGUGUCAUGUCUGGGAACCUGCCUGAUGGAGGGGGCUAACUACUGGAAACGGUAGUUAAUACCGCUUACCUUCGGCUGUUCCCAGAUGGGAUGAGCUAGUAGGUGGGGUAAAGGCUCACCUAGGCGACGAUCCCUAGCGGGUCUGAGAGGAUGACCAGCCACACUGGAACUUAGACACGGUCCAGACUCCUACGGGAGGCAGCAGUGGGGAAUAUUGCACAAUGGGCGCAAGCCUGAUGCAGCCAUGCCGCGUGUAUGAAGAAGGCCUUCGGGUUGUAAAGUACUUUCAGCGGGGAGGCGUUACCCGCAGAAGAAGCACCGGCUAACUCCGUGCCAGCCGCCGCGGUAAUUC
rnacentral:rRNA from 1 species